UGUAAAGACUGACUAAGCAUGUAGUACCGAGGAUGUAGGAAUUUCGGACGCGGGUUCAACUCCCGCCAGCUCCACCA
rnacentral:tmRNA from 5 species